UCCCCGUUACCGGGGCAGUCUGAAUAGAAAAAUACAACUAUUCAUAAGGGUUGCGCUCGUUGAAGGACUUAACCUAACAUCUCACGACACGAGCUGACGACGGCCAUGCAUCAUCUGUCACUGCGUUCAAUAAAGCACUCACUACUUUCGUAGUAAUUCGCAGGAUGUCAAACCCAGGUAAGGUUCUUCGUUUACCAUCGAAUUAAUGAACAUGAUCCACCGCUUGUGCGGGUCCCCGUCAAUUCCUUUAUGUUUUAGCCUUGCGGCCGUACUCCACAGGCGGGAUGCUUAACGCGUUAGCUUCGCUACUAAAGGGGUCGAUACCUCUAACAGCUAGCAUCCAUCGUUUACGGCGUGGACUAC
rnacentral:misc_RNA from 1 species